rnacentral:rRNA from 1 species
CCUACGGGUGGCUGCAGUCGAGAAUCAUUCACAAUGGGGGAAACCCUGAUGGUGCGACGCCGCGUGGGGGAAUGAAGGUCUUCGGAUUGUAAACCCCUGUCAUGUGGGAGCAAAUUAAAAAGAUAGUACCACAAGAGGAAGAGACGGCUAACUCUGUGCCAGCAGCCGCGGUAAUACAGAGGGCUCAAGCUUUGUACGGAAUCACUGGGCGUAAAGGGUGCGUAGGCUGUUUCGUAAGUCGGGUGUGAAAGGCGCGGGCUCAACCCGCGGACGGCACAUGAUACUGCGAGACUAGAGUAUUGGAGGGGGAACCGGAAUUCUCGGUGUAGCAGUGAAAUGCGUAGAUAUCGAGAGGAACACUCGUGGCGAAGGCGGGUUCCUGGACAUUAACUGACGCUGAGGCACGAAGGCCAGGGGAGCAAACAGGAUUAGAUACCCUUGUAGUC